CAUGCGCAGUAGAAGGAGGUCCACGAGCUGCGUGGGUUUGUGCCUGGGCGCCUGUGGUUCGCGGCCUUGUGCUGGCACCGGGGGCGCUGCGUUGGCGAACUUGGCACUCUUGGCGUUGGGUGGGCGGCAUCUUGGGGGUCACAUGAGCCAGUGGCAUCAUGCCUGCGGGCGCUGGGGUCAGGGUCGCGGUUUUUCCGGACGUUCGUCGGUCAAGAGGAAGGGCGGAAAGCACAUCCCGGAAAGAGUUUUGAAAAGAAUCUUGCUCCAGAAGAAUGCUUUUCCCCCUUGGAUCUUUUUUAACAAACUCCAAGAACAGAAUGAAGAACUUGGGCUGAUUAUUGACUUAUCAUAUACUCACCACUAUUAUAAGCCAGAGGACUUACCAGAAACUAUUCGUUAUUUAAGAAUUUGUACAAUUGGGCAUCAGGUGCCAGAUGAUGACACUAUUUUUAAAUUCCAAUGUGCUGUUAAUGGGUUUUUGAAAGAAAAUAAAGAUAAUGACAGACUUAUUGGUGUCCACUGUACCCAUGGUUUAAACAGGACUGGUUACCUCAUCUGCAGAUAGUUGAUUGAUGUAGAAGGCAUGUGGCCAGAUGAUGCAAUUGAAUACUGGUGUUUUAUCUUUACAAGUUCUCCGUCAUUCCAUAAGAAAGCUGCUUUUCUUCUGGUUUCAUAAGAGAUGGUGAACAGUGCCUGGCUUCAGAAAGAGCUGAAUUUUAUGAACUACACACUGUUGGAGUAGUAGAUUGCUAGAAGGAACCAAGAUCCAGAUGACCUUAAAUGGCGGCUUCAUGGAAUUAUAUUCAAGAACGAUGGUCCAGCCAACUUCCUCACUUCCAUUGUGAAAGGAGUUCCCUAUUCCUAAGAAAAUGGACCUAUGUCCGACUGACACAGAAGAUGGAGAUUUAGCCUAGUGCAUUUACAUAUGUAUAUAUAUUAAAAUUGUGUAUAUAUAUAUAUAUAUAUAA